CCUACGGGGUGCAGCAGUAGGGUAUCUUCCACAAUGGACGAAAGUCUGAUGGAGCAACGCCGCGUGAGUGAAGAAGGGUUUCGGCUCGUAAAGCUCUGUUGGUAGUGAAGUAAGAUAGAGGUAGUAACUGGCCUUUAUUUGACGGUACUUACUUAGAAAGUCCCGGCUAACUACGUGCCAGCAGCCGCGGUAAUACGUAGGUGGCAAGCGUUGGCCUGCUUUAUUGGGCGUAAAACGAGUGCAGGCGGUUCAAUAAGUCUGAUGUGAAAUCCUUCGGCUCAACCGGAGAAUUGCAUCAGAAACUGUUGAACGUGAGUGCAGAAGAGGAGAGUGGAACUCCAUGUGUAGCGGUGGAAUGCGUAGAUAUAUGGAAGAACACCAGUGGCGAAGGCGGCUCUCUGGUCUGCAACUGACGCUGAGGCUCGAAAGCAUGGGUAGCGAACAGGAUUAGAUACCCGUGUAGUC
rnacentral:rRNA from 1 species